AAUAGAUACCCAGGUAGUCCACGCCCUAAACGAUGUCAACUAGCUGUUGGGGCCUUCGGGCCUUGGUAGCGCAGCUAACGCGUGAAGUUGACCGCCUGGGGAGUACGGUCGCAAGAUUAAAACUCAAAGGAAUUGACGGGGACCCGCACAAGCGGUGGAUGAUGUGGAUUAAUUCGAUGCAACGCGAAAAACCUUACCUACCCUUGACAUGUCUGGAAUGCCGAAGAGAUUUGGCAGUGCUCGCAAGAGAACCGGAACACAGGUGCUGCAUGGCUGUCGUCAGCUCGUGUCGUGAGAUGUUGGGUUAAGUCCCGCAACGAGCGCAACCCUUGUCAUUAGUUGCUACGAAAGGGCACUCUAAUGAGACUGCCGGUGACAAACCGGAGGAAGGUGGGGAUGACGUCAAGUCCUCAUGGCCCUUAUGGGUAGGGCUUCACACGUCAUACAAUGGUCGGGACAGAGGGUCGCCAACCCGCGAGGGGGAGCCAAUCCCAGAAACCCGAUCGUAGUCCGGAUCGCAGUCUGCAA
rnacentral:rRNA from 1 species